rnacentral:sRNA from 1 species
AUUCAGCAGACUUUGCUACCUGCCUUCUUCAGGGAAGAUAAUCUUGUUUUUGAGUUUGUGUUUAAACUAAAGUUAGUUGAUUAUUUUCUUCAAUUGUUUUUCUUGUUCAUAGAGUUCCUUAAUGUCACGAGUGUUCACCUGUUCAAGGAGAGAUGGGACACUAACAAAGUGGACCACCACACCGACAAGUAUGAAAACAACAAGCUGAUUGUCCGCAGAGGGCAGUCUUUCUACGUGCAGAUUGACUUCAAUCGUCCAUAUGACCCCAGACGGGAUCUCUUCAGGGUGGAAUACGUCAUUGGUCGCUACCCACAGGAGAAUAAGGGAACCUACAUCCCAGUGCCUAUAGUCUCAGAGUUACAAAGUGGAAAAUGGGGGGCCAAGAUUGUCAUGAGAGAGGACAGGUCUGUGCGGCUGUCCGUCCAGUCUUCCCCCAAAUGUAUCGUGGGGAAAUUCCGCAUGUAUGUUGCUGUCUGGACUCCCUAUGGCGUACUUCGAACCAGUCGAAACCCAGAAACAGACACGUACAUUCUCUUCAAUCCUUGGUGUGAAGAUGAUGCUGUGUAUCUGGACAAU